rnacentral:lncRNA from 1 species
CAUCCUCAUGGAUACUAGUUGGGUUCAUUACUGCUGAACCACAAUGGGAACUCUAAAGAGUAAUUUUUGCACGAUUGUAAUUUGGCUUACUAAAUCUUUUAAAAUAAUAUUUUCACAGGUAAAUUUUUUCUGUAUGUGUAUGAAUAAUUUCACAUCUUAUACAGGCCAGAAUUAUAUAUUUUUAAGUGAAAUUUCUGUUUUUGUUAAUAUCUACACAAGAAUCAAAGUUAUAUCAUGUUAAAUGAUUAGUGAAAAAGAUUUUAACAAUCAUUAAGACUAUAGGAUAUGUUUUUGAUUAAGUUGUUUCUGGGGACAAAUUGAAAAGUAAAAAAAAAUGGAAAAAAAAUGAGGGAUAAUUUGAAAAUUAAAUGUGCUGCUAAAUAAAAUUAAAUAAAAUGAUCUGUUGGGCUUAUAGCCCCAACAAGAUAGCAUGAAAUUCUCCCUGUUCCUCUCCACUAAGUCUAAGUAUCACCUGUGGCCAUAGUUCAACAGACAACUUGAGGAGAAUUCUAAAAUGAGGCAAGAAAAAAAUGAACUGGUUUGAGACCUCAAGACUAGAGGAAACACGUAGUGACAGGGGUACCUCUGCCUCCCCAGUAGAAAAAGGUCACUCAGACUUGGUGUUUUUGGACCCUAAUUUAGCAAAAGAAACCAGCCCAAGUAGACUUGUUCCUCCUCCACAUCUAGAGGAAGUCCUUCUGUUAAUAUCAGAUGAGCUUUAUACCACUGACAAAGGCAGUUGAUGGAGUUCUCCACCAAUAAUAGUGAUCUGGUUCUCGUCUCUUCUGCCAAGAGAUGCCGAGGUUGUAGGAGGAACUGGCACAUAUACAACAAAUGGUGUAGCCCACGAAGAUACUUUAUAUCCCUCUUCUAUCCAGAGACUCUGGGCCAUGUGGACAGAAUGGCAGGGAAGACUCAGUCAGAACAAGUGGUUGGGUUGUGAAUCCUCUUUGUUUCUGAGGUCUGGCAUUCUCUCUACCCUCCUCCCCACCCAGACAGGGGGCAGGUGGGCAAAACUGGCAAGACUGACCCACUCACAGAAAGCAGUCUAGCAGAAGAAGCAUCAUUGGCUCCACUGGCCCAAGAUUCCCUUCCCUGUCCAGAGAUAUCAAGGCAGCCAUAGGUACCAGUACAGGGGAACACAACCAUAUCUCUCAUCCACUAAUCAACUUGCUGUAAAGAUCCCUUCCACUCCCCCAGGUAGCACCAGCAGGGACUUUUGGGAGUCAUAGUAAUCCCAGAAAAACCUAGCAAAAUGAAGUAACAUGAAAAAGGCUUUGAAUAAUAAAUUGACAUUGGAACUACAGUCCGUAAGAGUUGGCCAAGACUUGUGUGCUGAACCUAAACAAGAUGACUGCCUACUAAAAUAAAAGACUUAAAGGGGAUCUAGAAUUUCCUGUCAUAAUAGAAAAAAUGUCAAUGAUUAAUGAUGAUUAAUUGGGAAUCAUCCAUCAUACUAAGAACCAAGAAAAUAAAAACUUGAAUUAGAAAAGACAUUAACUAAUGCCAGUAUGAAGAUGAAUCAGAUAUUGGGAUGGUAUGACAAGAAUUAUAAAGCAGCAUUUAUAAAAAUGCUUUAUCAAUGAACUACAAAUUCUCCUGAAACAAAGGAAAAAAUUGAAAAUCUCAGCAAAGAAGUAGAAAUCAUAAAAAGAAUAAAUGGAAAAUAUAGAAUUGAAAAAAUAAUAAUACUUAAAAAAAUCCUGCUGUAUAUAGGAUGAAUAAAGAACAAGGUCCUACUGUAUAGCACAGGGAACUAUAUUCAAUAUUCUGUGAUAAACCAUAUUGGAAAAGAAUAUGAAAAUGUGUAUGUGUAUAACUGAGUUACUUUGAUCAACAGCAGAAAUUACCGCAACAUUGCAAAUCAACUAUAUUUCAAUAAGAUAUUUUUAAAAAACCUGUUGAAUGGGUUCAACAAUAGAUUGGAGGAGCAGAGGAUAAAAUUCAGUGACCUGGAGGAAAAAUUAAUAAAAUGUACCUAAUUUAUAAAACAGAGAUAAAAUAGAGUGAAAAGAAUUAAACAGAGAUUUGUCCUGUGUAACAAUGACUUAAAAUACAACAUUUCUGUCAUUUGAUUCUAAGAAGAGGAGCAGUGGAAUGAGACUGAAGGAUUAUUUAAAGAAAUAAUGUUUGAAAACAUAUCAUGUGUUGGUGUUGGAUACAAACCUACAGAUCCAAGAAGCUAAGCAAACUCCAGAUAGGACAGACUUCCCCUCAAAACCUCUCAAAGAAGGAAGUAUACACCAGACACAUUAUAAUUUAAAAUUUGAAGACUAAAAACAGAGAAAAAAUCUUGAGAACAGCCAAAGAGAAAUGGUACUUAUAUCUAGAGUAAAACUGAUUUACAUGACAAUAGAUUUCUCGUCUGAAAUCAUGGAGGCCAGAAGGAAGUAGCACUUUUUUACUGCUGAAAGAAAAAAAAUGGUCACUCAUGAAUUUUAUAUCUAGUGAAACAAUCUUUCAGGAAUGAGAGGAAGACAUUCAAAUAUGAAAAAAAACUAAGAGAAUUUGUCACUGUCAGACCUAUUAACAUUUCCAACAGAAGGAAAAUGAUAAAGGAAAGAACUUGGAAGUUCCUGUUGUGGUGUCACAGGAUGGACAGCAUCUCUGCAGCACUGGGAUGCAGAUUUGAUUCCCAGCCUGGCACAGUAAGUUAAGGUUCCGGCAUUGCUGCAGCUGUGGCAUAGGUUGCAAUUGCAGCUGGAAUCUGACCCCUGGUGCAAAAACUCCAUAUGCUGCAGGGUGGCCAAAAAGAAAACAAACGAACAAAAUCUUGGAGGAUCAGAAAAGAAUAAAAAAAGGAAUUUAUUUGCAAAAGUUUUGACACAUACAAUGAACAUCCUUUACUUCAUGAAUUUUAUAAAUAAUAUUUGAUGAGUGAGACAAAAUUAUAACACCUUCUGAUACUCCACAUGAUAUUUAAAGAUGGGGAAAACAAAGACAUACCUUAAUGGAAAUAAGAUUUCCACAUUUCACUCAAAGUAGUAAAAUGUUGAUAAUCAGCAGACUGUUUUAAGUAAUAUUAUAUAUAUAGUAUAUAUAUAUUUCAGUUAUAUAUAUAUAGUUCUCAGAACAGCCACUACAAAAAACUUUAAAAAGAGAUAAUACUCAAAAAUACUUUAUAGUCAAGACAAAAUUCUAAAAAAUGUUCCAAUAAUUGAUAGGUGGCAAGAAGAGAGAAAUGGAGGAAUGAAAACCAUAAGAAAUAGAAGGAAAAAAAGUAAGCAUAAGCACUAACAUAUUAAUAACUACCUAAAAUAUAAAUGGUCUAAAUGCACCAAGCAAAAAACAGAGAUUGACUGAGUAGAUUAAAAAAGUUUAUGCUAUUUACGUAAAAUUCAACUCAAAUUCAAUGAUAAAAGAUGGUGGGGAGUAAAAUGAUGGAAAAAGAUAUACUAUGCAAACAUUAAUAAAAUUAGUAAGGAAGGAGUGGUUAUAUUAAUAUUUAAUAAAGUAUACCUCAGAGCAAGGAAAUUACUAGAGACGAAGAGGGACAGUACAUAAUGAUAAAAAGAUUAAAUCAUUGGGAAGAUGUAAUUAUCUUAAUGUGUAUGCAUCAAAUCACAGAGACUCAAAUGAAGCAAAAGUAAUAGAACUGAAAAGAGAAAUAUACAGAUUUACAGCUGGAAACUCAAACAUUGCCUUCUCAGUCACUAAUAGAAAUAUGAGACAGAAAAAUUAGCAAAGAUGGAGAUCUGAACAAUAGUCAACCAACAGGAUCAACUGACACCUAUAAAAGAGUCAAACCAAAAACUGAUGAAUAUUUAUAUAUUUUUCAAACACCCAUGGCAUGGUCAUUAAAAUCACCUGGGCCACAAGACAAGACUCAACAAAAUUGAAAUACUUGAAACAAUGCAAAAUGUUCUUUGACCAGAAUAUUAAUCAAACUAGAAAUCAAUAAAAGGAAGAAAUAAGGAAAAUCUUUAAAUGCACAAAAAUUUAAAAAUUCUUCAAAAUAAUCUGUGGGUCAAAGAAAAUGUAGGAAAUACAUAGAACUUAAUGAAAACAAAAACAUAAUUUAUCAAAAUACAUAGAGUGAGGUUAAAGUAGUACUGAGAAAUUAAUCUAAGUUCCUCCCUAAAGAAACUAGACCUCCAAAAAAAGUAGACCAAAAAUGUAAAAUUAACCCAUAGGCAGCAAAGAAAGGGACUCAUUAAGAGCAGAAAUCAAUGAAAUUGGAAAUAGUAAAAUAAUAGAGAAAACUAAUAGGAGUUGGUUCUUAAAGGUUCAGUAACUCACAAACUUUUUUAGCAGGACUAACCAAAAUAAAAAUUGAGAAGGCAGAAAUUAUUAAUAUCAGGAAUAAAAUAUGGGAUAUUGCUACAGAUCUUGCAGUCUUUCAAAUUUAAUAACAGGAUGCUAUGAACAAUUUAAUACUAAUAAAUCAGACAACUUAGAAAAUAGAAUACUCAGCAAUAAGAAGGAAUAAAGUAUUGGUACAUGAAAAAACUUGCUUGAAUCUCCAGAGAAUUACACCGAGUGAAAAAAGCUAAUCCUAAAAGGUUACAUACGCUGUAUAAUUCAAUUUGUAUAACAUUUUUUGAAAUUAACAGAAUUUUGAAAUGAAGGACUGACUUCAGGGAAUGGGGUGGUGGAUGUGAUUUUAAUAGAGUAGCAGGAAUAAUCCUUUUGGUAGAGGCAGCUGUUUCCUGACUAUGGCGGUAGAUACUAUACAGAGUAAAUAAUAUAGAGAACUAAAUACAGACGCACACACAUAAUUGAGUAAAAGUAAAAUUGGGAAAAUUUGAAUAAGAUAAGAGAAUAAUAUCAAUGUCAAUAACAUGAUUGUGAUAUUAUAAUCUCAAAAUAUUACUAUUGGGGAAAAAAGUGUAAAGUGUGUAUAUAGGAUCUCUCAAUAUUAUUUUUUAUGAUAAAAUAUCAACGCACAAUUUUCUCCAAUUUUUAAUUAAAAAUGUACUGUUUCUGGGAGUUCCCAUGGUGCUCAGAGGUUAACAAACCUGACAGGUAUCCAUGGAGAUAUGGGUUCAUUCCCUGGCCAGGCUCAGUGGGUUGGGGAUCUGGAGGUUCCAUGAGCUGUGGUGUGGGUCACUGACAUGGCUUGAUCCUGUGAAGCUGUGGCUGUGAUGUAGGCCAGUGGCUGUGGCUCCGAUUCAACCCUGGCCUGGGAACCUCCAUGUGCUGUGGGC